CUUGAGUUUAUGCAGUCAAUCUAUGAAGUUAAAGAAUAUAUUUAAAGGCUUAAAAAGUACAUCAUUUUCAUUCGUUUUUGCAUUGGAUCGAUGAAGUUAAAGAACAUUUAGAGGCUUUAAAAGGUCAAAUCUGACGGAAACCCCAAUUCGAAUGGAUGUUUUAUGCCCGCUGCUUGGAUUAAUUCAGCUCUGUUGAAUCUUUUGCUCGUGUACCGGCUUUGUUGCCAACAUAUUUAUUUACUAAACAAAACGCCGAAAAAAUAAGAAACAACCUGAAACAACACUGUCUACAGUGUCCAACUCAAACAUAUUCAAUUGCACCGAACGAACUGGUUCGUCGAACGGUGAAGCAUGUUCAACGGCACCGGCCUGGCUCGAGUUGGAGAAUAACAGCACUGCCGCCUUUUUUAAAAAUUAUCAAAUUCAAAACCAGGAGCAUCAUUAUUUAAAAAUUUAUUAAUCUUCUCAUAAUUGAACCCAUCUACUAACAGAAUUAUGCUUAAAGAAUCGUACAGAGAGCAAUUAUAACCAUUGUUUGAGAAUUUAACAGACCUGCCGUCGCAUCAAACCUGUUGCCGUUACCAUCGAGCUCGAGCGUCGACGCCGGCAGCGAAAUGGCUCGACAGAAGAAAUUGUGCCGCUAUAUAAAGUUACUCUAUGUUCAAACACACGCCGGAAUGCUAAGAGCAUACGUUGGAAUACGAAGAGAGGCUGGCAGAAAUAUUCCGGCUUUUUCAAAGCGCGAGCGUCGCAGUCGUGUUUUCGUCCGCCUUUUGGUCGCAUCGCAAAAAACAAAUUGUUGCUGCAGCCAGUGGAUAACUAAAUUGCUGGCUUAAACUAAAGAUAAAGCGGAGUAACUAACUAAGGAAAAUUUGUAUAUCCACGUGCUUUGCUGAGUUCGCCUUUCCCCCUCCUUCUAUGCUAUUUUUCGCGCGUCUUCGUUCGCCGUGUGUGUGUGUGUGUUCGG